CAGUAGCCACGGUAAUACGGAGGGGGCUAGCGUUGUUCGGAAUUACUGGGCGUAAAGCGCACGUAGGCGGCUUGGUAAGUUAGAGGUGAAAGCCCGGGGCUCAACCCCGGAAUUGCCUUUGAAACUGGAAAGCUAGAAUCUUGGAGAGGUCAGUGGAAUUCCGAGUGUAGAGGUGAAAUUCGUAGAUACUCGGAAGAACACCAGUGGCGAAGGCGACUGACUGGACAAGUAUUGACGCUGAGGUGCGAAAGCGUGGGGAGCAAACAGGAUUAGAUACCCGCGUAGUCCCUGUCUCUUAUAC
rnacentral:rRNA from 1 species